CCCACUUCGGUCUCUCCCUCAGUUGCCGCUUCCACGUAUGAGGCGUUCUGCCACGUGAGGUCGGCCACACUUAGAGGAGACCUCCCGCCAUCACUGGUAAGUGUGGUGGUGUCUUCCCAGUGCUCCUGGUCUCAUCAGUACUGGGUUGCUCUCAUAAGUGUGUCUUUGGCGCUGUGUGUGUUUGUGGGCGGUUGCUUAUCCG